UGAUCAGCCAAUGAUUAAACACAUUCACUAGUUAUUUACUAUUUGAUACGCGUAUCAAAUGCACGAUGUAAACUAGGCCAAUGCUUGAGCUUAAGAUCGAUCUAUGAAUCCCGUCCUAUGAAAUUUACCAGCGGGCGUUCCUUGCCCCUUGAAAUGAGUCCGAGAGAUGGCGCCACCAGUCUCGAUGCUGUGGCGCUGUAUCGUUAGAGAGACUUUAGAUAUUUUAGUUUUACGCAGUUGAGAACACUAUCAAAGACGAUAGCUAGUUCUUUAUGUUUUCAAGUCAGUCACUUUAGAGAGCUUCGAGUGUUCUUGUAGAUACACGUCAUAUCCUGUAAUCUGAAUAUUAAAUAUACGUAGUCGAAAGUUAAUUCAGGGAUAUCAUUAUUCUACAAAGACUCAUUCGCUACAUUGAUAACCCCGACGUGAUUUAUGUACAGCGAAAAAGAAAUCACAGUUCGCAGUAAUCAAGAAUGCUUGUUGAGCAUUUUGCCAUCGAAACAGUCCACGACGGUUGGACACGCCUUACAAGAAGAGAAAUAAAAAGUCUACUCGAUAUGUCUAACAACAGAUUCGAAGCAGCUCAGGUAACAUGCCACCAACAAUUAUUGGUGCGAUAAUGCUAGCGAAACUUUCAUCAUUCUAGAAGGAAAAUUCGAAGCUAUGGUUCGCGCAAGUAGAAUCAGCAUUCUGUUUAUCGAAAACUUCAAAUGACGAUACAAAGUUCAAAUACGUAAUUCUAAAUCUAGAAAACGGGGUAUUAUUUUUUUUAUCAAAUAUUGCUAAUCCGUUGCACAAUAAUAAAUAUCGCGCUAAAAGAUCGCAAUCAAAACAGCCAGGCAACAUUAGAGGAAGAUCCACAUCCAAAGAGCGUAAUCAAGAAAAAGAUGUUACGUGCUGGUAUCACAAGCAGUUUGCAGGCAAGGCAAAAAAUGCCUACAGCCAUACGCAUACAAAUCAGAUGCAAAGUAAACACAACUUAACCUAUCUGACACAGGUGCAGAUAUAUCCAUCUUAUCAAAAAGGUACGUUUCAAAAUCAUACGUGCACAAUGAUUUUAAGGUAUUUGUAGCUGACUGCAUUGAAAUUAAAACAUUUGGCGGAAAAGUCUUAAAAAUAGACCUUGGCAUCAGGCGAUUAUUUCUGUGACAGUUUACUGUUGCCAAUGUAACAUAUUAGGUGCAGCAAUAAUAGAUGCAGACUUUUUCAAGUUUUGGGCUGAUAGUUGACUUUGCUAACAAGCGUCUUAUUGAUGACGUAACCAAACUACACACUGUUGAAAUGGUACAUAAAUUAUCCACGCCGCCACUAACCACGAUUGACACUAAUUGUAGAUGUCAUCAAUUACUCAAAGUGUUUAUCGACAUAAUAAGACCUGCAACCCGCAAAGAAGGAAUUUACCAAGUGGAACACCACAUCACCACUAAUGGGCCCCCGGUCGCCGAACGCCCACAAACUUCCCCCCCAACAAACUCAAAUUUACUAAGGCAGAGUUUGAUAUAAUGAUCCAGGAAGAAUCAUAUCGAAUUCUGUCGACUGUCAUCAAGCCCAUAGGUAUCGCUCUUCCACAUGGUUCAGAAAAAUAAUGGAGAAUGGAGAUUGUAUGGUGCCACUAGCCGAGAAAGAUGGUCCAAAAAUUGCAAUAACUACGCUAUUUGGUUUAAUUAAGUUCAACGUUAUGUCAUUUGGAUUUAGGAACGCGGCACAAACAUUCCAAAGGCUAUUCGACAGUGUUCUUCGAGGACUAAACUUUUGUUACCCUUAUCUUAAUGAUUUACUUAUUGCAUCACACGAUCAUGUUACACACGAGAAAUAUUUCCAAGCCGUCUUUGAAAGGUUACGUAAGUUUGGCUUGUCUAUUAACUUUUUGAAAUCCACUUUUGGGGUAGACGAAAUAAGGUAUUUAGGUUAUCAAAUUAAUCAACAUGGUAAACCUCUCAACAAGCGUGUUGCAGCGAUCCAGAACCUUCCGAAAUUCAAAACAAUGGCAGAAUUACGACGAUUUUUCGGAACCAUUAAUUUUUAUUAUCGGUUUAUAAAAAACGCAGCCGAAAUUCAAGCACCUCUUAAUGCAUACUUAGUGGACGCAAAAACAAUAAACACCCUGUCGAGUGGACUGAAGAUAGCAAGUGUGCGUUCAAACAAAAAUUGACAAAAGCAUCACUCCUAUUCCAUCCACGUGAAAAUACCAAAUUACGCCUAACUGAUGCAUGACAUUAUUAUGAAUGCUACGCUGGAACAGUACGUUGAUGAAUUGUGGCAACCACUAGAUUAUUACUCAAAGAAGUUCACACCGACGCAACAAUAAUAUAAUACCUGUGACUGAGAGUUACUCGCCAUAUAUGCUAGCUUGAAGUUCUUUCGUUAUUUCAUAAAGGUUAGCAAUUAAAUAUCAGAACAGACUACAAACUCUUUACUUACGCCUCCCAGCAGAAAAAUGACAAAACAUCACCAAGAUAACCGCGACAACUUGACUACAUUAGUCAGUUUACAACAAAGAUUAUGCAGAUUAUCGGACAAGCAAAUACAGUAGCAGAUUGUCGCGUAUCGAGCAAAUAGAUAUGCCUAUCAUAGUCACCACGGAAGAUAUUGCGACGGCCAAGAUACACAACUGUACUGUGACUUGUCCGGAAAUGACGUUCGUACAUGCCAUUUUAACUAGGACGUCAAAUUUUCAAUGUUGUCCAUAAUUUGGCACAUCCAAACAUAAGGUCUACACAGAAGAUAAUAGCGCGUCGAUUCGUUUGGCCGUCCAUGCACAAAGAUAUAACGCAGUGGAUAAAAACGUGCCUAUCUUAUCAACGUAACAAGAUAUUUCAAGAAUACGCGAUUCUCCUACCAAGACUUCGUCUUGGUUUUUAUUGGUAGGGAUUUGAACACCUUCAAAGUAACCUCCUUCACUUUGUUCGUGAGAGUAGGACCUGCAAUUAUCCUCUGCCUCUCAAAGUUUUGUGAGCAGACGCGCCUUGUAUCUAUGUGGUGUUGAAGCGCCGGAGCAACACUUGUUAGUAAACUCCAUAAGACGUGCUCCUCCAAGUUGAAGUCAGUCCUCUUUUUGCUGUAUGACCAGAGAGUAUCUAUCCUGUCUAAUACGCUUUGGGUGAAUGUUUUUUCAGGUUCUGUCUUGACUUGAUCCCGAGCCGGGGUAAUGAGCCCUGUAUCUUUAGACAGGAUCUCGGCAUAAGUCAUCGUGGUGGAGGAGCUUUGAGAUUUGUUUGCUCAGGGUGUUUCCACUCCCAUAGCGUAAAGUAACGGGAACCCUUGGUGAAAGCCGCGCACUCGACCAGGUGAAUUCCCCAAUCGGUGUUGUGUUCAAUCAAUCGGGAAUCCAGUAUUUUUUUCUCAUCUUUUUUCACUGGGAAGACUACAUUUUGGAUCUAAGACGGAUAGAUGACUUCAAAAUAAGAACCAUCUAUGCUUAGAAUCCUCUCUUCUUUAGAGCCCCCAGCACUGCUCGUGCACAUACUGAAAGUCACUUCUCCAACAGCGCCCUGCGGAUAGUUCUGUGAUACUUAAUGCCUUUCCAUACACUCUUCAGAAUAGACUAUCUCGCUCACCAUUCGGAUUCUGUUUUAACAACAGGCCUUACUUUCCCUUCUUCGCUCUUUUGGAGAACUGAGAAGGUUUCAGGCAUUGAGUAAAACAGCAUUUCUGCUAUAAGUGCAUCUGAUUUUGUAGAGUGGAUUUAAUUUGCUUUCGUUCGAAAUGGCCACGCGUAAAUUUGACCACGUUCGAAAUGGUUACGUUCGAAAUGGCCACGGGAAAUAUUGCACGGAGAUCAAUUUGCCCACGUUCGAAAUGGCCACGUUCGUAAUGGCCACGUUCGAAACGGCCACGUUCGAAACAGCCACAUUCGGAACGGUCACGUUUGAAAUGGCCACGUUUGAAAUAACCACGUUUGAAAUGGCUACGUAUGUUUUACUUGAGCAUGCGCAGCGGUCAUAUCCUCAUGCUUUUUGGCCACAAGUCAUGCAAAAAAUGCGUGAAUAUCAAAUAUCUAUACACGUAUUUUAACGAGCAUCUUGUUUUGCGUGGAAAGUCGCAAACCCAUGUGGUGCACAGAAUGUUUUACGCGCGCGCGCGCGCGCACACACACACACACACACACACACACACACACAAUUCACUUCGGAAUCGCAAAAAUCCGCUGCCGAUAUCUUUCGUCGCGAUACAUAUUGUUGCGCACAUCGGGCAACGCGCGGUGCGCAACAAUAUGUCGAUGAUAUUCUUUCUGGCAUUAGACAUUAAUCAAGCUAGAAAAUAAAUACAACUAAGUAACGACUGAGUAUCCUCAUCAACAUUCGUUGUUGAUAAUGAAAUCCUGCAUCAUACCUUUAGGUCACAAUAGAUUCGACAAUCUGAUCACUUUGUUUUUACGGUACCCUCGAUUUCGAAACCUCGCGUUAAUAUGAACCGAUCGGUAUUUUCGUUUAUAGCAGGUGUUCGAUUCACUCAGCUUACUCGCUUUGAUUACUAUCAUCGCGAAGAUGUUUCUGCAAGAACUUUGAGCGAUUUGCCUCGAUUGGGAUGACGAGCUGAAGAAUUUAACUCGCGUUGGAUCAAGUUCAAUAAAUCGACAAUGUGAAGACGAUAUCUAUUCCGCGUUAGUUCGGAACAAACUCUAUCUUGCUCUUAAAAUCCAUGGGUUUUUGGACGCGUCUCAACACGCUUUCGCGGCUGUCGCCUUCAUUUAUGUUCUUAACGGAAAUAACGUAAACACGACACUUGUUAGCGCUAAAACAAAGGUAGCGCCUGUUAAACGCAUGACUAUCCCGCACUUGGAACUAUUCGUUGCAGUACUUCUCGUACGUCACGUGUCGUGACGUACGAGAAGUACUGCAGCAAAUAGUUUCAAGUGCGGGAUAGUCAUGCGUUUAAAAGGCGCUACCUUUGUUUUAGCGCUAACAAGUGUCAUGUUUACGAACUUUUCGUCGUUUAUCGAAUACGAGAAGCUUUCGAUUUAUGCAAGGUGCCGCUUCAUCUCUGGACCGAUUCUACUGUUGCGUUAACGUGGAUCAAAAGCCAUUCAUCUCGUUGGAAAGACUUUGUGCAGAAUCGUGUUGCGCUUAUACAAGAACUUUUGCACUCUCAAUGGCAUUACGUGUCCAGAAGAACUCUCCCUGACCUUGCUUCUCGAGGAAUCUCCCUUCAAUUUCUUUAACAAAAGCAGCUUUAGUGGUCAGGACCUUCCUGAUUGCAUGAUCUCUCAAAAUCAUGCCCUCGGACAUUCCUACGCUAGAUGCAACACUCGAUUUUUAAGAACGACCUUUAACCUAUUCUAUCACUAUCGAGAAAUUAAACCUAAUCUGGGAUUUCAUCGAUAAAUAUUUAUCAUUUACCACCUUACUUUGCAUCAUCGCCUAGCUUUUACGCGAUUACUUUUGCCAAUCAACUUUACCAGUCUCAUUCAACAGAGCUCACUCCUAGCAAAUUAGAUGCCGCUUUCUUAUUUUGGACGAGACUUACUCAGUAAUCCUAUUUCUCAAAGGAAAUUUUAACUCUCAAUAACCACGCACCACUGCCGUCUUCCAGUGUCUUACUUUGGCUAGUUCUUUUGCUGGAUUCAAAUGGACUACUCAGGGUACGUGGACAACUUUAAUUCUCUCAACUAGAACCAGCUAAAAAACAGCCGCUCAUACUACCGCACUAUUCUCAACUUGUUACGUUCAUAAUUGAUCAUCAUCAUUGGAAAACUUUACAUGGCAGUUCACAACUUAUGCUGCCGUUAAUCCGAAGAAAAUUCUGGGUUAUAGGCGUUCCAAUCCGCUCAUUUAUUUAUAACUGUAUGAUUUGUGCUCAUCAUCGUGUUGCCGCCAAUCAACAAGUUAUUGGACAGUUACCCGCAUCUCGAGUAAUUCCCUGCUGACCCUUUUAUUACACAAGGGUCAAUUAUGCUGGCCCGUUAAUGAUCAAGAUUUUUCGCAGAUGGGGCUCCAAAACGUACAAAGGAUAUGUUAUAAUAUUUGUUUGCUUUAGUACAUCCGCUGUUUAUUUAGAAGUAUAUACAGAUUACUCAACUGACGGAUUUAUCGCCGCUUAUAAACGUUUCACAGGACAACGAGGUUUAUGUUCAACCAUUACUAGUGACUGUGGAACGAAUCUCGUCGGAGCUGACUCCAAGCUCAAAAAGCUAUUUGACGCCUCCUCACGAUAAUGGACUCUUAUCGCCCACCUACUGGCCAACGACGGAGUGACGUGAAAAUUUAAUCCUCCCUCUGCUUCACACUUCGACGGAAAGUGAGAGGCUGAAGUCAAGGCAGUCAAAUUCUUCAAAGUCAAGGCAGUAAAGAGGCUGGAAGGAAGAAUUAGCGAGAUAGAGAGGAAAAGGCAAGGAACAGCAAGGGAGGGAGUAAUAGAGGGGGGAGUAAGGUCAAUUGAAUAGGAGAAUAGGGUGAAGGAUUUAGAAAGGAAAAUGGAAAGGAAGGAUAGAGAGAAAAGAAGGAAAAAUGUUACGAUUAGAGAGGAUUAGAAGUAAGGAAAGGGAAAAGAAGGAAGGCGGUAGAGAAGGUGUUGAGGAAAAUUGGGGCUGAAGUGGGAGGUGGAGGAAGGGUAAAGGAAAUGGGAAGGAGGUGAAGGAAAUAAAAAAGGUAAGGAGUAGGGCAAACGAGGGAAGGAAGAUGGUGGUAGUUAAGUUAGCGAAUGAGGAGAAAAGAAGAGAUGUCUUGGAAAAAAAAGGAAAUCUGGAAGGAAGAAGGGAGAAAGUAGGGGAGGAUUGGACAUGAAAAGAAAGAAAAAUGAGGUGAAGGUUAGAGAUUGCGAUGGAGGAAGAGAGGAAGGGGAAUAGGACUUGAUAGGAUAUGGAAAGAUUAGAAUUAACAAGGAAUGGUGGACAUGGGACGACGAAAGUUUGAGGAAUGCGAAGGGAAAUGUUAGAGGGUUGGGUCGAGAGGGGGAGAAAAGGGAGGGAUCGGGGGACUUAGGAUAUGGAGAGACAGAGUCGGAGAGGGGAGAAAACCAAAGGGGAAGGAGGAGGGAAUUGGAAGGUACUGUUCUGGAAUGUUGCUGGGUUGAAGGACAAGGAUAGAGAAUUUUGGAAAGGAUUGAGAAAGUGGGAAGUAGUGGUGUUAUCGGAGACGUGGAGUGUAAAAAAGAACUGGAAUUAGAUAAGGAAAAGGCUUCCAGAGGGAUGCAUUUGAGAAGUGCAAUAGGAGAUUCCAAAAGAAGAAAUAACAAAGGAAGCGUAAUAGGAGGAAUGGUAAUGGGGAUAAGAAAGGAGUUGAUAGAGAAGGGGAAGGGAACAGAAGAAAAGAAGGAAGAAAUUAUGGUGGGGAGAGUUAGGGUAGGCGAAGAGAGAUGAAUGAUAGUGGGUAGGGAGUUGGAGGAAACACUGAAAGUGUUGGGGGACUGGAGAGUUAAGAAGAGUGCUAAGUAAAUUGAAGGAAAGAAAAGCAGCAGGUUUAGAUGGAAUUCCAAGCGUAGCGUGGAGAUAUGAAGGGGGGGGAGAUUGGAUUUGGAAAUUCUGUAACAAGGUCUGGAGGGAUGGCCGGAGAGUUGGAGAGAAGGAAUAAUCAUACCAAUAGUAAAGAAGGGGGAGAGAAUGGAGAUAGAGAAGUACAGAGGGGUAAUCCUGAUGCCUACCCUCUAUAAAAUACACACGACGAUCCUGGCAGGGAGAUUGGAAGAAGAGGUAGAAAGUAAAGGGAUUCCUUAUCCCGCAAAACCAGACGGGUUUCAAAAAAGGAAUGGGGGUGGUGGAUAACAUCUAUGAACUACCUGAUUAAUAGAGAAUUAGGAAGAAAAGGGGGCAAAAUGGUGGCCUUAUUUGUAAAUCUGAAGGCAGCGUUCGACUCGGUGAACAGGGGAGUGCUGAUCCGGGGAUGAGGGAGAAGGGGAUAAGAGAGGGACUAAUAGAGUGGAAGAAGUUAUAAGGGAAAAGCAGAGUGAGGAUGAGAGGAGAGGUAGGGGACUGUUUUUGGAUAGCUUGGAGGAUGAGACAGAGGCGCCCGCUUAGUUUUCUGUUAUUUAAUAUAAUGAUCGCGGAUGUGGAGGAAGUAAUGGGAAGAGUAAAGUGGGGGGGGAUAAAACUAGAGGGAAAAAGGAUCUAUACGCUGGGAUACGCGGACGAUUUGGUACUGAUUGCAGAGGGGGAGGAAGAGAUGAGAAGCGUAAUGGGAAGACUGGAAGAAUAUUUGGAGGGGAAGUUGGAGUUUAAUGCGGAUAAAACGAAGAUUAUGAGGUUCAGAAAGGAAGGAGAGAGUCUUAGCAAGAGAGUGUGGAGAUGGAAAGGAAGGAUAAUAGAGGAGGUGAAAAAAUGCAGAUACUUGGGAUACAUAUUUCAGAGGAAUGGCAGACAAGAAGCACAGGUUAAAGACAGGAUAAAUCGGAAAAAGGAGAUUUGGGGGAGAUUGGGGGAGAAGGCUGUGGCUUUUUGAUAGAUUGGUGUAGACGGUAAUGGGAUAUGGAGGGGAGAUUUGGGGGUGGUGGGAGGGGGAGGGAUGGAAAAGAUGGAAGAGAAGUACUUGAGGUGGGAGUGGCUCACUUGGACACUGUACAAUUGGACACAGCGCAGAUGGACAUGUUGCAAAUGGACACAAACUAAUGUACACGGUUUAAAUGAACACGGUUUAUUUGGACACAGGAAUUUUGUACACUGCAAAGUUGUACAUCGUACAUUCUAUAUCCUUCUGUUUAGGGUGUUGUGAGUGGACAGAAAUAUACACCGGGUAUAUGGUAAGGAAGGAGCUGCAGAGGGAGAGAUUAAGAGGAAGGGCAGAAAGUCGAGCUUGGGAAUAUGAAAAAGGUUAGAGAAGGGAUUGGGAAGUAAAUUGGCGAGGGCUUGCUGGAGGGAAAUAGAGGAAGGGUAAGGGAGGGGAGGGACCAGUCAGAGUGGGAGAAGGAAAGAAAAGGAUUUUUUGAGGAGAAAGGCUUUAGGAUAGAGGAGGUAGAAUUAAGGGAGGAAGAAGAGGGAUGGUUCAAUAAAGUCAGAGAAGUGGAUAAGGACAGGCAAAGAAAGGAACGGAGGGAAAGGAUAAGGAAUUCGGAAUAUAAUGAAUGAUACUGGAGGAUAAGAGGAGAUGGAAUUCCAGGGUAUUUAAAGAAGGGAUGAAGAGAGAACAGAUGGAGGAGAAUAGCCAGAUUUAGGUUGGGAAACGAGGUUAGGGAGAGCAGGUAUUGAGAGGA